GGGGAAUUUUCCGCAAUGGGCGAAAGCCUGACGGAGCAAGACCGCGUGGGGGAUGAAGGUUUGUGGAUUGUAAACCCCUUUUGAUUGGGAAGAAUACUGACGGUACCAAUCGAAUAAGCCUCGGCUAACUCCGUGCCAGCAGCCGCGGUAAUACGGAGGAUGCAAGCGUUAUCCGGAAUGAUUGGGCGUAAAGCGUCCGCAGGUGGUUUAUCAAGUCUGCUGUCAAAGAGUUUGGCUCAACCAAAUAAAGGCAGUGGAAACUGACAGACUGGAGUGCGGUAAGGGCAGAGGGAAUUCCUGGUGUAGCGGUGAAAUGCGUAGAGAUCAGGAAGAACACCGGUGGCGAAAGCGCUCUGCUGGGCCGUAACUGACACUGAGGGACGAAAGCUAGGGGAGCGAAUGGGAUUAGAUACCCCAGUAGUCA
rnacentral:rRNA from 1 species